rnacentral:rRNA from 1 species
UACGUAGGGGGCUAGCGUUGUCCGGAUUUAUUGGGCGUAAAGAGCGUGUAGGCGGCCAGGUAGGUCUGGUGUGAAAACUCGAGGCUUAACCUCGAGAUGUCAUCGGAAACCAUUUGGCUAGAGGUCCGGAAGAGGAGAGUGGAAUUCCGUGGUGUAGCGGUGAAAUGCGCAGAUAUCAGGAAGAACACCAAUGGCGAAAGCAGCUCUCUGGGACGGUACUGACGCUGAGACGCGAAAGCGUGGGGAGCGAACAGG